AUUCCUGUAGUGCGAUGGAUAGCUCGUUGGAUACCUAAUCCAAAGAUCGUGGGUUUAAAUUCCCCUUGGGAUG